rnacentral:misc_RNA from 1 species
GUAAGCGAUGUGUUGUCAAUUUCUGUACAGGUGUUGCUACAAGAAGUAGCCGUGUCGACUUUCGGACGGUCUGUACGGGUGAAAGCUGGAUUUUCUCUAGUUUGACGGGACGUUUUGUAAAAUGAAAUGAUUAAUUUGUGUCCUGUAAACAUCUAACGGAGAUAAGGCAGUGUGGAUUCUGUUGUGGUGCCGUUGAAUCCUGUGACGUUUAUCUUUUUAUGUUGUGUGACAGUGAGCAAGUGAAUCGUUUUUUUUUAAUUUGAGUAGUUUAAUUGUGUAGUCGCGAGUGUGGCAUUGAAAUUUUAAAGAAGCAGACUAAACAGCCGGCAAGACCUAACAGCGGGAACUAGCGGAGAAUUACAAUCAGAUGUGGUACAUCAUAGACCAGGAAAUCAUAUAAUUCUUCAAGACCAACACAUACAACAACCAUACAAAAAUUACGUAUCCAAGCCAACUACAAGACUGAAUUUUCAAAAAAAAUCCUAAAAAGCAUACACACAUGUAUCACCUUAACAACGCAUCAUGUUGAAAUAUUCAAAACAGGAUCAGCAACACAAAUCCAGGUCAAAUUCAGGUGGAAAUUCCAGUAAAACCACAACUGGCAAAAAGACGAUCAGGUGAAACCUACGUCAUCCAAUAAAACACAAAUCCAAUUGUAAUAUGGAAUUGGGGAAGUCUAGCGCAUCAACUUGUAGAAAUACUCCAUGAACAUCUCAACACAUGACUAUUAUUAGUACUGAGAUAUUUGAAGCACAAUCGCCGGCACUCUUGGAUAAUUAACGUGGAAUUGAAUAUAAUAGACACUUGCACUCUUCUAUUGUUGUCGAAUGUACACAGAAUGAAAAGAUCCAUAAAAUCCAUAAAAGAUACUGAAUGUAUAGUAAGAAAAUAUUUCGACAAAUGGAAAAAUUAAUUGAAUUAUAUUUUCCCUAAAAGUUGAUAACAAGAUUCUAUGAAUGCGCGCGAGAGAUUACUAGUGAAUAUUUUUCAAAAAGAGCUUAGUAAUUUUUUUAUUUCGUGUUUGUUUAUCUGCUUGAUUAAUUCCAUUAUUUGUGCAUUAUUAUUUUUCUAUAAUUUUUAUUCAAAUAUUUCGUUUGAAUCUAUAACGCUUGAAACGUCCGUGUUCAAUCAUAAUGACCACAUUAAGUUUUUCGCGAAUGUUUCGCGGUAAAAUUCGUUCGAAUACAUGUCGUAUUAUUAUUCUGACCUCAUUAGUUUGGGUCGUUGUUGAUAUAAUUUUAAUUGCCCGAUAUUCGGAAUGUAUUGGACCAGAUGGAUGGAGAUGUAAAAGACCUGGAGAAUAUGAUGUCGAGAUUCCUAAUAAAGAGCGAUUGGUGAAAGAAGACGAAGAUCCAAUUGUGGACGACAAUGAAAUCGAUACAGGGAAAUCAUUGGAUGGCGGUGUAACAAUACCGCGUACAUAUCGUAGUGUAUUAUUAAAGAAAUGGCAACCAGCUCCCGUUGUGAGGGAAGCUCGUGGAAAGCCCGGAGAGAUGGGCAAACCUGUUAAAAUUCCUGCUGAAAUGCAGGAGUUAAUGAAGGAGAAAUUCAAAGAAAAUCAAUUCAAUCUUCUGGCUAGUGAUAUGAUCUCGUUGAAUAGGUCACUUGUCGAUGUGCGGCACGAGGGUUGUAAAACAAAACAAUAUGCGGCAAAACUGCCAACUACAUCAAUUGUAAUAGUAUUUCACAAUGAAGCCUGGACAACGCUUUUGCGUACAGUGUGGAGUGUUAUCAAUAGAUCCCCACGUCCUUUGCUGAAAGAAAUUAUUUUAGUUGAUGAUGCAAGUGAAAAAGAUCAUCUUGGCAGAAAAUUGGAUGAUUAUGUUGCAACAUUGCCAGUUAAGACAUUCGUUUUGCGAUCGGAAAAACGAUCAGGACUUAUACGUGCACGGCUUCUAGGUGCUAAGCAUGUUACGGGUGAAGUUAUAACAUUUUUGGAUGCGCAUUGUGAGUGCACAGAAGGGUGGCUGGAACCACUUUUAGCGAGAAUUGUACAAGAUCGACGAACAGUUGUGUGUCCGAUAAUAGACGUUAUUUCAGACGAAACAUUCGAAUAUGUGACGGCAUCAGAUCAAACUUGGGGCGGAUUUAAUUGGAAAUUGAAUUUCAGAUGGUAUCGAGUACCCCAACGAGAAAUGGAACGCCGAAACCAUGAUCGAACUGCACCACUUCGGACUCCAACGAUGGCGGGAGGACUGUUCUCCAUUGAUAAACAGUAUUUCUAUGAAAUCGGAUCAUAUGAUGAAGGCAUGGAUAUUUGGGGUGGUGAGAAUUUAGAGAUGUCAUUCAGGAUAUGGCAAUGCGGUGGCACACUCGAAAUUAUACCAUGUUCUCACGUGGGUCACGUAUUCCGUGAUAAAUCACCAUACACAUUCCCAGGCGGUGUCGCCAAAAUUGUAUUGCAUAAUGCAGCUCGAGUUGCUGAGGUUUGGUUGGAUGAAUGGAGAGAAUUUUACUAUGCAAUGAGCACAGGUGCUCGAAAAGCUCAGGCCGGUGACGUCAGCGAAAGAAGAGCAUUACGGGAACGACUGAAAUGUAAAAGUUUCCGUUGGUAUUUAGAGAAUAUCUAUCCAGAAAGUUUAAUGCCAUUGGAUUAUUUCUACCUUGGGGAGAUUCGAAAUUCAGAAACACAAUCAUGCUUGGAUACGAUGGGUAGAAAAUAUGGAGAGAAGAUUGGCGUCAGUUAUUGUCAUGGUCUAGGAGGAAAUCAAGUAUUCGCUUACACCAAACGCCAUCAAAUUAUGUCAGAUGACCUUUGUUUGGAUGCGUCAAGUUCCCAUGGACCAGUGAAUAUGGUUCGAUGCCAUAAUAUGGGUGGAAAUCAGGAAUGGGUAUAUGAUGACGAGGAUAAAACCAUUCGACAUACAAAUACGGGUAACUGUCUAACUCGGCCAUCACGUGAUGAUCCAACGACACCAUUGUUACGUGCAUGUGACUACUCUCGAGGGCAGCAAUGGCUUAUGGAAUCAAAGUUUAAGUGGCAAGCUCACUAGCACCAUUUCACACAAAUAGUAUACUAACAAAUUAUCAUUUAUUUGAAGAUAAAGCAAAUUGAAAAAUGGAUUGGCUCAGAAGCCAUUUGAAGGAUGACAAGAAAUUUUAUUGAAGAAUUAACUUAAAGACAUUGUCCCGAAUUCCAGUUUAUAAAUGAAUUUUGUGAAAUCUGAAAAAAAUGGAAGAUUGGCGAUAUUUUGAAACAGAUUUAGGAAAGGAUAAUGAGGUCGGUGAAAAGUUUUUAGUGUUUCUAAUUUUCUUUGAGAAAUCAUAUCAAAAAGAGUCGCUUUAAUCAUAGCGACAAGUUUGCUUUGCAAUUAUCCUCAAUCUCAUCUUGUAAUGAAGAAGACUAAAAAAUAGACGUGUCAUACAAAUACGGAAAUGAAUCAAAAACUUGAUAGUCCCUUAUGCUGUGAUUUCAUAUUUCUGCGUUUGGUUUCAUUCUUUUUGAUCGUAUUCAUUUCGAUUUAGAAAAAAGUAUUAGACAACGAAUUAUUUCUUUUGCUUUAUAUGGUUUAGACUGCGAAUCAUCUUGAUAUAUGUGCACAAAAUGGCAGUUCAAUAGAGGUUGUGAAGUUUGGUGCGAUCGCACUGAUAUUUAGCAAACAAAUGUGUCGCACUUCCUUCAGCAUAAGUCUUUGAUAUAUUCAGUUUAUUCCAUAAACUAAUACAUCCGCGUCCUGAAUUUAUUUUCUGAAAUAAAUCUUACUAUUAAAAACACUUUCUCCAAUCAAGAGUACAUAUUCAUUUUUAUAUAAAAUCGAUAAAUAUCUUCCAAACAAAAAAAAAAUAUUUCAACUAAUAUCGUCACUUUUUUGAAUCAAAGUCAUCCAAACUUCCGAAGACAUGUCUGUAACGUGAUUGAGUGAAGUAAACUAAUUAGAAAAUCAGAAUGUAUAAGAAAUUUAUUCAAUUCCUUCAGAUUAAUUCCAUUAAAUGACCUUUCCGGGUUGUAUCUCAGAUACAAACUGUUUAUCAUAUGUUUGUAAAGUUGUGAGAAAUAUUGAAAUUCAUUGUCCAGAACUUUCCGAAGACUUAAUAAUUGAAACUGGUGCUAAAUAAUGUUAGUAAUUUGUAAAUGAUUUUCAGUAUUAAACUCAGUAAUGGAUACAAUAGCGACUCCCUUUUCUACGUUACUGCUAAUCAAAGCAAAUAGAUCCUAAUUCUACUUUAUAAAAAGACACUAAUGAUAUUCAGCAUUUCUCAUAGCUUUCAGUUGCAGAAAACUUCUAACUUAGGCUCUAUCAAAUGGAACAUAAACUUGAUAUUUAAUCAAAUCUAAGUAAAAAGUAAAGAUUCUGGGAAUAAUCGUAUGCGUCAACAUUUUAAAUGAGAAUGAGUUAUAAGAAAGUAUUUAUUUCAUCAAAUAUUAGCGAGUAGUUAAAUGAAGUCGAGUGAAAGUAAGUAUUUUCCAAAUUUAUUGUCUCUUAUAUGGACGGCAAUAAAAAUAUAAUAAAAUUAUAUUCUUCCUUUUUUCGUUUUUCAUAAGUGCAUAUCAGUUUUUGGUGCAAUGAAAUAUAUGCAAGAAUAUAUAUAUAAAAAGAAACAAAAUAGAACCUGUACAUACAAUUUAAACAGAAUAAAACGUUCUGGUUUGAUAAUUCCUUUUGUAUAUUAUGAGAAUAUAGAACUGUAAGGAGAAUACAAUAAUAUUUUAUAAAGUUGAAACUCGUUUUGUAUUUCCAUUACUGCCACCCACAUGACUACAUGCAGAAUAAAUUGACUACAUUAUUCUGGUUGCAAAUGGCAGCGUUGAACGCUUUUCUUCAUAAUUGUGAAUCUAUUCAUGCAUUUGUUGUGCCCCAUCACGUCUUUAACAAACAUGAGGGAUAAGAUUUAUCCUUAAAAAUAUUUGUUUGCCGACAUUAACUGCUCCAAUUUUUAUCUUAUAUCGGACAUCAGUUCAGCAGAUAGUUGGACUCGUUGAAAGUUGUAUCAUUCAAAUGAUAUAUUUUCAUCGUAUUGGAGAGUUGCAUAUUAUUCAACGUCGUCCGACCUCAAAGACCAACGGGAAGCAUUCCAUGCCCACACAUUUGACACUCCACUUUUCCAAAAGUGACACUUUCGGUACAAAAUAAAAUGUCAAUUUCAUAAAAAAUAUUCCUACGUCUGAAACCACCAAUUGUCAUUAGGGUCUUG